rnacentral:rRNA from 1 species
AAAACGACUCUCGGCAACGGAUAUCUAGGCUCUCGCAUCGAUGAAGAACGUAGCAAAAUGCGAUACUUGGUGUGAAUUGCAGAAUCCCGUGAACCAUCGAGUUUUUGAACGCAAGUUGCGCCCGAAGCCAUUAGGCCGAGGGCGCGUCUGCCUGGGCGUCUCA